rnacentral:rRNA from 1 species
AUUGAACGCUGGCGGCAGGCUUAACACAUGCAAGUCGAGCGGGGUGAUGGUGCUUGCACUAUCACUUAGCGGCGGACGGGUGAGUAAUGCUUAGGAAUCUGCCUAUUAGUGGGGGACAACAUCUCGAAAGGGAUGCUAAUACCGCAUACGUCCUACGGGGGAAAGCAGGGGAUCACUUGUGACCUUGCGCUAAUAGAUGAGCCUAAGUCGGAUUAGCUAGUUGGUGGGGUAAAGGCCUACCAAGGCGACGAUCUGUAGCGGGUUUGAGAGGAUGAUCCGCCACACUGGGACUGAGACACGGCCCAGACUCCUACGGGAGGCAGCAGUGGGGAAUAUUGGACAAUGGGGGGAACCCUGAUCCAGCCAUGCCGCGUGUGUGAAGAAGGCCUUAUGGUUGUAAAGCACUUUAAGCGAGGAGGAGGCUCUUUUGGUUAAUACCCAGAAUGAGUGGACGUUACUCGCAGAAUAAGCACCGGCUAACUCUGUGCCAGCCGCCGCAGUAA